UAUGUUACAUGGAUAUCUGCAUUAGUAAAUUGAGAUCUCUCAUCUUUAAUUAGUUUGGUGUGUUCUCUUGAUAUCAGAAUCACAAAUGGAUAACUCAACGAGUAACAGAGGGAAACUAGGCAACCGGCACCCUCCUCCUCCAGGAUACCCUACUCGCACAAUAAAACAGAAGAGGCCUCUUUGCCCUCAUACCAAAAGGAAGGAUGAUAAAAGCUUCAUUGAAGGAUGUCUUGCUGCACUAUGCUGUUGUUGGAUAUGCGAGGUCUGUUGCGAUUGAGAAGUGGCAAGAUCAUAGAUUGUGAAGGAUUAUUUUACAACUGGAGAAAAGAAACAAUGAUGCUUAUGAAUAACAAUACAGAAGAGCAUACUUGCGUGCAAGAUUUGAUGUGCUAUAUAGUUUGUACUCUUGUGUUGAUGAAAUAAUCAUGUAUAAUUUCUGGGUUAUCAGUGGAUACAUUGUUUGGUUAGCAUUUUUUAUACUACAAAGUUGAGGUUGUCAUGUUAGGUAUAAGAUGCGUCAAAUGUGAUCUGCGUAUAUCUCACUAAUUCUCAGGUGAUUCAAUUUAAUUCAAUGUUAUGGUA